GAUGAACGCUGGCGGCGUGCCUAAUACAUGCAAGUCGAACGCUUCACUUCGGUGAAGAGUGGCGAACGGGUGAGGAAUACAUAAGUAACCUGGCAUCUACAGGGGGAUAACUGAUGGAAACGUCAGCUAAGACCGCAUAGGUGUAGAGAUCGCAUGAACUCUAUAUGAAAAGUGCUACGGGACUGGUAGAUGAUGGACUUAUGGCGCAUUAGCUUGUUGGUAGGGUAACGGCCUACCAAGGCGACGAUGCGUAGCCGACCUGAGAGGGUGACCGGCCACACUGGGACUGAGACACGGCCCAGACUCCUACGGGAGGCAGCAGUAGGGAAUUUUCGGCAAUGGGGGAAACCCUGACCGAGCAACGCCGCGUGAAGGAAGAAGUAAUUCGGUAUGUAAACUUCUGUCAUAGAGGAAGAACGGUGGAUAUAGGGAAUGAUAUCCAAGUGACGGUACUCUAUAAGAAAGCCACGGCUAACUACGUG
rnacentral:rRNA from 1 species